GGCCACAGCCAGAUCACCCUGCAGCCCAAGACCGGUUACUCACUGAGCAGGACUGAGCCUGGUUAGUACCUGGAUGAGUGACCACAUGGGAAAACUAUGUUGCUGUUGGAC
rfam:Danio rerio chromosome 13 genomic contig CTG1270, GRCz11 reference primary assembly.